CCCUGUUUGGUAACCUUGAUUUGAUUUCAAAUCCUGCAUUUGUUCAAAUCUACUGUUUGGCAAAUUCUAUAAAUUCUAGAUUUGGAUUUGUUCAAUUCCAUCAAAUUUAAACAAAAGCUAAAACAAAAUAAUUUGAAAUACUAGUCAGCAAAGUGUCAUUUGAAAUCAAAAAAUAGAAGACAAACUCCAUGCCUUCACUUCGGGCUGCUCGCUCAUCUUCUCUCCCUCGCCCCUCUUCUCUCCUGCCAUUAUUCCGUCUCCGCCGAAAAUUCAAAGGUAGAAGCAGCCCCUUGUCUCCCCAAGUGCUAAACAAUUUACAAAUAUAGUGGAGUGGUGAUAGCUCCUCGAUUCUCCCCUCUGAUCCUUAUGAUCGUGUUGUUGCGCGAUUCUGGGCUGCGUAUUUUGAUGACAAGGUGGUUCCAGUCCAGAGAGCGAAAGGGUGGCGUUGAUAGAGCAGCUAGCAGAAGGAUUGGUGCCGCUGGAGGAGGCUUUCAAGACAUGUAGCAAAGGGAAGAGCUACUUCGGGGGAGAUAACAUUGGUUACACUGAUAUUGCUGUUGGAAGCUUCAUUGGAUGGAUCAAGGCAAUCGAGAAAAUGAGUGGCAUCAAGGUUCUGGCUGAGGCAAAAACACCGGGCCUCGUCGGAUGGGUGACCAAGUUUCUGUCGACUGAUGCUGCUAAGAAAUUUGUUCCGGAGCCUGAAGUGUAUGUUGAGCUUCUUAAGAAGAUGCAGGCUUGAGCCUGAGCUGCAUAAAGGAACUGGGGGUGUGUCUGUUUGAUCCAAUAAGUGACUUGUGUUUUCUAGCAAGUUUAUGUAGUAUUAAAAUCAUAAGAUAAGUACAGAUCGCUUGUAAUAUUUGAAUUAUAAGUGUGAAGUACAUGUUAUAAUAAAGUAUUUACUCAUUUUAUCUUGGAUUUUAUUUGUAAUUUUGAAUGAGAUUAAAUAUUUAUCUCA